CCUACGGGAGGCAGCAGUGAGGAAUAUUGGUCAAUGGCCGGAAGGCUGAACCAGCCAAGUCGCGUGAGGGACGACUGCCCUAUGGGUUGUAAACCUCUUUUAUAAGGGCAGAAUAAAUGCUACUUGUAGCAUGAUGCCUGUCCCUUAUGAAUAAGCAUCGGCUAACUCCGUGCCAGCAGCCGCGGGCAUACGGGGGAUGCAAGCGUUGUCCGGAUUUAUUGGGUUUAAAUGGUGGGUAGGGUGGGAGGUAAGUCAUCGGUGAAAUGCCCCCGCUCAACGGGGUGAAGUGCCAUUGAUACUGCCUUGCUGGAAUGCGGAUGAGGUGGGAGGAAUGUGUGGUGUAGCGGUGAAAUGCAUAGAUAUCACACAGAACACCGAUUGCGAAGGCAUCUCACGAAUCCGCGAUUGACGCUGAUGCACGAAAGCGUGGGUAUCAAACAGGAUUAGAUACCCGAGUAGUC
rnacentral:rRNA from 1 species